rnacentral:rRNA from 1 species
AUGUUGUCGGCACUGCCGGGCCACGCGAGCUCGAGCUCGUCGGCGACGGCCCCAACCGACCGGGCGACUUCCUCGGCCGCGUCUUCGUCUUCCGCCGCCGGCGACGCGCUGCUCGAGCUCGGCGCGCCCCCCGGCGCCGCCGCCGACGUCCUCCGCGCGCCGCGCAGACUGCAUCUCGUCACGCACGGCGACGGCUGGCUGCCGCGGCCUCCUCCCGGCUCCACCUCGAGGCGCACCACGCCGGCCGCUCCCGCUACGUGCUCUCCGGCUCCACAGCACGUCGACGGACUCCUCCUCGUCACGCACUUGACCAACCCGUCGAGGCUGCUGCUGCCCGUGGUGCACCAUGCCCGGCCACGCACGGCCGCGACCGCCUCGCCCUCGUCGUCGCCGCACUCGAACGGCUCCGCCCUGAGCAGCUCCACGAGGCGGUCGGACCGCAGCCUCGGCUGUGACUGCGCGCCCUGCGCCUGUCCGGCUGGUGUUGGUGAGGUUGCUGGGGCGCGGCGUGGUGCUGGAGCGUGGAGUGCAGCGGCACGGCGAUGGCGCGACGUGGUGGAAGGAGAGCAGCGGCACGGCGAAGAGCGCGACGAAGCGGUUGAUCCCGGAGCACUGGUCCGACGUGAAGAUGCCCCACCACUUGACGGAGCCGUAGGCGAGGAUCAUGGCCACGUACAAUUAGGCCAAGCAAGUGCCCCUCGGCGAGCGAAGCCGGCUUCGCUCGCCGCUGCCGCGCUCCUCCCCUGCUUCCGCUGUACCGAGUGCCCCGCGCCCUGCCAGCACCGGCGCGCGCCCUGGCCGCGGUCGCCCCGCCGCCCGCACCUGCUCCUCGUGCGCCCCGCUAGCCCAGGCAUGCCCCGCCGGCCGCGACCCGCUCUGCUGCCGGCCACUUCUGCCCGAGCCACAGCAGCUCGGCGGCGAGCUUCUCGGCCGCACCAGCUCCGCGAGCCCCCGCACCAGCUCGUACUUGCGGGAGGCCACGUGGAGCCGGGACGCGACCCAGAGCACGCCAGCUCUUGCUGUAAUCGCUCCGCCCCUGCCACGCUUCGCCCGGCCGUGAACUCGCCGGCCAUGCUCCGCCCCGCCCGGCCUCGGUGUUGCUCGUGGCCUCCCCGGAGUCCAUCUCCCUCGCCCCGUCCACGCCUGGCCACGAGCUCCACUCCGCUCCGUCGAGGGCGGCCACAACACGCAGGGCGAGCACGGCGAGCAGGCGGGGAGGCAGGCGCGUCGUGGGGAGAGGGAAGGCGAGCACGUGAGGGUGGGACCUGGAGAAAAAGGAGAGAGAGGGGGUGGGAGGCUGACUAUGGGCCAAUUGCAUGUAAAGUCUUCUCUCUCCGUCCCCAAGUGACUCCCGGUGGGCUGGGUUUCACCUGCGGUCGCCGGCUGAGUUUUUGGAUUAAUCCGGCGAAAAAUGAGAUGUUGGGGCUGUGA